rnacentral:rRNA from 1 species
UACGGGGGGGGCAAGCGUUGUUCGGAAUUAUUGGGCGUAAAGAGCUCGUAGGCGGCUUGUCACGUCGGAUGUGAAAGCCCGAGGCUUAACCUCGGGUCUGCAUUCGAUACGGGCUAGCUAGAGUGUGGUAGGGGAGAUCGGAAUUCCUGGUGUAGCGGUGAAAUGCGCAGAUAUCAGGAGGAACACCGGUGGCGAAGGCGGAUCUCUGGGCCAUUACUGACGCUGAGGAGCGAAAGCGUGGGGAGCGAACAGG